CUUGACACUGAACAUUGAGCCUUGAUGUGUAGGAUAGGUGGGAGGCUUAGAAGUGUGGACGCCAGUCUGCAUGGAGCCGACCUUGAAAUACCACCCUUUAAUGUUUGAUGUUCUAACGUUGACCCGUGAUCCGGGUUGCGGACAGUGUCUGGUGGGUAGUUUGACUGGGGCGGUCUCCUCCUAAAGAGUAACGGAGGAGCACGAAGGUUGGCUAAUCCUGGUCGGACAUCAGGAGGUUAGUGCAAUGGCAUAAGC
rnacentral:rRNA from 1 species